UAAGUACUCCCUCAGUCCGGAAAUACUUGUCGGAGAAAUGAAUGUAUCUAGAUGUAUUCUAGUUUUAGAUACAUUCAUUUUUAUCCAUUUCUCCGACAAGUAUUUCUAGACGGAGGGAGUAUAUG
rfam:Triticum aestivum genome assembly, contig: Triticum_aestivum_CS42_TGACv1_scaffold_622683_7DS